ensembl:lncRNA
CUGGUUCAUGAAGUGGUUCGAACUUUGCCGCGAGAUAUGACAGCGAUAUAAACCCCUCAGACUACAUUCAAAAAUGUGGGUGUUUGAUGGAGAGUUGCGGUUAGUGAGAGUUUGGAGACCGUUUGGAGGUUUAUGAGAGUGAGGAGAGAAAGUCAGGAGAGAAUGGAGCCAGCUAAGAAGAGGAGGAUGUCCUCCCCUGUGUGGGAACAUUUUGAUCUUAUUCCUCCCAACAAGGUGAAGUGUUUGCUAUGUGCCAGGGAGCUGGGAUAUAACAACAACACCUCAUCCAUGCUUAGGCACUACAGAGCUUUGCAUGAGAAUAAGGGGGACACCGAUUGUGGAGCAAGACCAGGAGAACAAUCUCAAAUAGAUGAAGACCUGGUCAGCAUGGUGAUUGAGGACUCCCAGCCAUUUAGCAUUGUGGAGGACAAAGGAUUCAAAAGAUUUGUUAAAUCAUUAAAUCCUAGCUAUGUUCUCCCCACUAAAAAGGUCGUAAAAGCAGUGAAAAUUUAGUUUUUACAGAAUAAAAUGUGAACAGGCAGGACUGAGGCCUCAGUGUGUAGCUGUCCAUACCUCAACAUUACAAAAGCACAACUACUGUCCACACCCCAACCACACCUCACCUCACAGUAAAUGAUCAUUUCCAUUUCAAGCAUUUCCAAAUAAUCAUUUCCCAUACUGCCACUAUAAAUAUACACAGUAUACUGCCAUCACUACAAUAUACAUGUUUUACACACUCC